GACGAACGCUGGCGGCGUGCUUAACACAUGCAAGUCGAACGGUAAGGCCCUUCGGGGUACACGAGUGGCGAACGGGUGAGUAACACGUGGGUGAUCUGCCCUGCACCUCGGGAUAAACCUGGGAAACUGGGUCUAAUACCGGAUAGGACCACUGCCUGCAUGGGUGGUGGUGGAAAGCUUUUGCGGUGUGGGAUGGGCCCGCGGCCUAUCAGCUUGUUGGUGGGGUGAUGGCCUACCAAGGCGACGACGGGUAGCCGGCCUGAGAGGGUGACCGGCCACACUGGGACUGGGAUACGGCCCAGACUCCUACGGGAGGCAGCAGUGGGGAAUAUUGCACAAUGGGCGCAAGCCUGAUGCAGCGACGCCGCGUGAGGGAUGACGGCCUUCGGGUUGUAAACCUCUUUCAGCACCGACGAAGCGCAAGUGACGGUAGGUGCAGAAGAAGGACCGGCCAACUACGUGCCAGCAGCCGCAGUAA
rnacentral:rRNA from 1 species